rnacentral:rRNA from 1 species
AACGAACGCUGGCGGCAGGCUUAACACAUGCAAGUCGAACGCAUCCUUCGGGGUGAGUGGCAGACGGGUGAGUAACGCGUGGGAACGUGCCCUUCAGUUCGGGAUAACCCAGGGAAACUUGGGCUAAUACCGGAUACGUGCGAGAGCAGAAAGAUUUAUCGCUGAAGGAUCGGCCCGCGUCUGAUUAGCUAGUUGGUGGGGUAAUCGCCCACCAAGGCGACGAUCAGUAGCUGGUCUGAGAGGAUGAUCAGCCACAUUGGGACUGAGACCCGGCCCAAACUCCUACGGGAUGCAGCAGGGGGGAAUAGUGGACAAUGUGCGCAAGCCUGAUCCAGCCAUGCCGCGUGAGUGAUGAAGGCCUUAGGGUUGUAAAGCUCUUUCGUCCGGGACGAUAAUGACGGUACCGGAAGAAGAGGCCCCGGCUAACUUCGUGCCAGCAGCCGCCGCAG